rnacentral:rRNA from 1 species
GACUACUCGGGUAUCUAAUCCUGUUUGCUCCCCACGCUUUCGUGCCUCAGCGUCAGUGUGGCCCCAGACCGCUGCCUUCGCCAUCGGUGUUCUUCCCGAUCUCUACGCAUUUCACCGCUACACCGGGAGUUCCACAGUCCUCUAGCCCACUCGAGUUACGCCGUCUCAAUCGCCAUUCCCAGGUUAAGCCCAGGGCUUUCACGACUGACUGACGUUACCGCCUACGCACGCUUUACGCCCAGUCAUUCCGAUUAACGCUCGCACCCUCCGUAUUACCGCGGCUGCUGGCACGGAGUUAGCCGGUGCUUAUUCCGUGGGUAAUGUCAAAAGACCCGGCUAUUCACCCAGCCUCCUUCUUCCCCACCUAAAGGGCUUUACAACCCGCAGGCCGUCUUCACCCACGCGGCAUUGCUGGAUCAGGCUUGCGCCCAUUGUCCAAUAUUCCCCACUGCAGCCGCCCGUAGG